rnacentral:rRNA from 1 species
CCAGACUCCUACGGGAGGCAGCAGUGGGGGAUAUUGCACAAUGGGGGGAACCCUGAUGCAGCGACGCCGCGUGGGUGAAGGAGCGUUUCGGCGCGUAAAGCCCUAUCGGCAGGGAAGAAGGAGGACGGUACCUGACUAAGAAGCCCCGGCUAACUACGUGCCAGCAGCCGCGGUAAUACGUAGGGGGCAAGCGUUAUCCGGAUUUACUGGGUGUAAAGGGGGCGCAGACGGCAGCGCAAGCCAGGAGUGAAAGCCCGGGGCCCAACCCCGGGACUGCAUUGGAAACUGCCGGGCUGGAGUGUCGGAGGGGUAAGCGGAAUUCCUGGUGUAGCGGUGAAAUGCGUAGAUAUCAGGAGGAACACCGGUGGCGAAGGCGGCUUACUGGACGACAACUGACGCUGAGGCUCGAAAGCGUGGGGAGCAAACAGGAUUAGAUACCCGAGUAC